rnacentral:rRNA from 1 species
UACGGAGGGGGCGAGCGUUAUUCGGAAUUAUUGGGCGUAAAGGGCGCGUAGGCGGCUUGGUAAGUCAAAGGUGAAAUCCCUCGGCUCAACUGAGGAAUUGCCUUUGAAACUACCUGGCUCGAGGCCGGGAGGGGGUAGCGGAAUUCCCAGUGUAGCGGUGAAAUGCGUAGAUAUUGGGAGGAACACCGGUGGCGAAGGCGGCUACCUGGACCGGUUCUGACGCUGAUGCGCGAAAGCGUGGGGAGCAAACAGG